CCCGUUCGCCGAAAGACCAAGGGUUCCAGUCCAACGUUAAUCGGGGCUGGGUGAGUCGACCCCUAAGGCGAGGCCGAAAGGCGUAGUCGAUGGGAAAUGGGUUAAUAUUCCCAUACUUCUGUGUAAUGCGAUGAGAGGACGGAGAAGGUUAAGUCAGCCUGGCGUUGGUAGUCCAGGUGGAAGACAGUAGGCAUGCAUCUUAGGCAAAUCCGGGGUGCUCUAUGCUGAGAGUCGAUAUCAAGCUGUACUUGUACAGUGAAGUGGCUGAUACCAUACUUCCAAGAAAAGUCUCUAAGCUACAGUUACACAGGAAUCGUACCCGAAACCGACACAGGUGGUCAGGUCGAGUAGACCAAGGCGCUUGAGAGAACUCUGCUGAAGGAACUAGGCAAAAUGGUACCGUAACUUCGGGAGAA
rnacentral:rRNA from 1 species